AGUCGGACUAUCGUGCUCUGGAACACGUUUCAAUAGAUUAAUGUUCGUGCGCAUGAGCACGCAAUCGCGUGAUACCGGGUUGAUUGAUAUUGGGUGCUAUAUAUAUAGUCGAAUAAUAAAAUAAAAUUCUAAUUUGGUGCCGUUGUAAGUACCAUAUCGGCUCGGCUUCCAGAUCGGCUCGGGGUCCGUCGUCUGCUGAUUACGUCACACAAUAUCAUUGGCUGUACGCUUGAAUGGGCGUACAUUGUGAUUGGCUGUACGUCGGACAGUUGUGAUUGGCUGUUUUGUGCUGUAGCUGUGGCUGUAGUCAUAGCAACCACGUAACUAGAUACUGUACGUCGGAGAGUUUUGUCUCCCGGAGAUGGCAGCAGCUAUGGAGAGCUUUUAUGCAGAAAUUAAGCAUUUCGUAGAAACUAGUGUUUACCACACCUUAACCAACACUAGCUCGAAACCAGAGAGCAGAAAGGCAGUGAUUCGGAAAGCAUCAAUAAGAUACACAAUAAAAGGUAAGUCACACAGUGUGAAUUAAUUUUACUUAACUUUACCUUCCAACAGUACUUCAAAAUAAAUGUAGCAUGUAAGAUAAAAUAAAAGUAUUAUCAUACUACCGGGUACUAAAAGCCAUCCUAAAUAAGUAGGUUUUAGCCUAGAUUUGAACGUCAUAGAAAAUAUUGUCUGUUGCAUCUUGUCUGAGGUGUCUUAUCAUAGCCCUCUUCCUUUACUUUUUUCCUUCCAAGUACUAUUAGUAAUAUUAGCUGUUCAAUUCAAUCCAUAUUUGAAACAUUUCAAGGCCUUUUGGACUUUCUCGUGCUGCUUUUAGUCAUAAUAUAACCUACCCAGUUAUUAUACAUACAUAAACACUCAGGGUUUAACGUAAUUGGCGAACAAUCCAACUGCAUCGAUGCAACGCCCAAACAUCGAUGCAUAUUGCUGAAAUGCCUAUUUCUGCGCAAAGCGCCAAGCCACUUGUAUCCGUUCACCGGUUAAACGAGGCAACAGCGAGCACAUGUGUGAGCGCGAGUAGGAAUAUGUCUAGUUUUGGGACAUAUUGGGCAUAUGUCCCGUUUUUCCAGCCUAACGUGAUUAAAUGUAGCCAAAUCGGGCUGAAAAUGUGCCCAAUCUGGCAACACGGACGGCUUAUUUUAACAGCCAAGAUGAUUCCGAGGGAUGUUUUGUUUUUAGAAGAAAACUAUCCAAUCCCGGAAUGGUCUAUGUUCAAAAUGAAAGACCAUUACAGGCUCUUUAAUUUAAGCCAUAAAAAACCUUUUGUACUUAAAUGCAAUUAUUGGCACUUUAUUAUUUGUAUUAAAAAUGGAUUGUUUUUGUUUUAAAUAUCCGGUAGAGCAAAGAAAUAAAAUGAUGAAAUUAUAAUAAAGUUGAUGUGAGUUGAUGUGAAUGUAAGAGGUUGUGUUAAAUGGUCAUAUGAUAUCGUCUCAUAUCGAUCGCAUGCCCCUGAAUCGAAAUCGUAUCGCGGCAGACUUUUGAUAUCUGCAAAUAUCGUAUCGUUGUCCAAUGAAUCAAUAUCAUAUCAUGUCGUGAUGAAACCAGAGAUUUACACCCCCAAAAAACACUAAAUGAAUGUUGUAUUUUCCUGCUGCAUCAGACGAGCAGUUGUAUUACAGCUUCCAGGGAAAACCUUGCUUGGUGGUGUGUAACCAGGAGCAAGUCUGUAAUGCCUUAAGGAGUGCCAUGACAAUCUUGGCAGUGGGGGUCAUCCAGGGAGACGCCGAACAACAGAAAAAGUAUUUGCGUCCUACCAUUGGAAAACACUGAGGGAGGAUGUAAAAAAAUGGCCACGGACAGAGGUUUGCAUACUGGAGAAAUGAGGCCACAGCAUUGCUCCAAGGAUCACUGCAGCCGAUCUACAGGAUCCCGAAGACCAGAAAAAGGGAUCAUGAGGUUCAGUUUGAAAAGGCCGACAGGUGCUUCAUAUUGGAGGUAAUCUUUCUUUUUUUUUUAAACUAGAACCUGUACACCUAAACAUCACGGGAAUGUGUUAAUAAGCUUGAU